rnacentral:rRNA from 1 species
UACGUAGGGUGCGAGCGUUAAUCGGAAUUACUGGGCGUAAAGCGUGCGCAGGCGGUUAUAUAAGACAGUUGUGAAAUCCCCGGGCUCAACCUGGGAACUGCAUCUGUGACUGUAUAGCUAGAGUACGGUAGAGGGGGAUGGAAUUCCGCGUGUAGCAGUGAAAUGCGUAGAUAUGCGGAGGAACACCGAUGGCGGAGGCAAUCCCCUGGACCUGUACUGACGCUCAUGCGACGAAAGCGUGGGGAGCAAACGAG